AACACAUGCAAGUCGAGGGGCGAGCAUUGGGAUAGCUUGCUAUUCAGAUGGCGACCGGCGCACGGGUGAGUAACGCGUAUCCAACCUUCCUGCCAGUAGGGAACAGCCCGGCGAAAGUCGGAUUAAUGCCCUAUGUUCUUCAAUGCGGACAUCUAAGUUGAAGGAAAGAUUCAUCGCUGGCAGAUGGGGAUGCGUCCGAUUAGCUUGCCGGCGGGGUAACGGCCCACCGGGGCGACGAUCGGUAGGGGUUCUGAGAGGAAGGUCCCCCACACUGGUACUGAGACACGGACCAGACUCCUACGGGAGGCAGCAGUGAGGAAUAUUGGUCAAUGGGCGUAAGCCUGAACCAGCCAAGUAGCGUGCCAGGAUGACGGCCCUACGGGUUGUAAACUGCUUUUAUGCGGGGAUAAAGUGCGGCACGUGUGCCGCUUUGCAGGUACCGCAUGAAUAAGGACCGGCUAAUUCCGUGCCAGCCGCCGC
rnacentral:rRNA from 1 species